rnacentral:rRNA from 1 species
AGAAUCAACGCUGGCGGCGUGCCUAACACAUGCAAGUCGAACGAGAAAGUGGAGCAAUCCAUGAGUAAAGUGGCGCACGGGUGAGUAACACGUGACUAACCUACCCUUGAGUGGGGAAUAACCUAGGGAAACCUGGGCUAAUACCGCAUAACACCUACGGGUCAAAGGAGCAAUUCGCUUAAGGAGGGGGUCGCGGCUAGAUUAGCUAGUUGGCGGGGUAAUGGCCCACCAAGGCAGUGAUCUGUA